AGAGUGUGUGUGUGUGUGUGAGAGAGUGAGUGUGUGUGUGUGUGUGUGUGAGUGUGUGUGUGUGUGUGUGUGUGUGUGUGUGUGUGUGUGUGUGUGUGUGUGAGUGAGUGAGUGAGUGUGUGAGUGAGUGAGUGAGUGAGUGAGUGAGUGAGUGUGUGUGUGUGUGUGUGUGUGUGUGUGUGUGUGUGUGUGUUAGUGGAGUGAGUGAGUGAGUGAGUGUGAGUGAGUGAGUGAGUGUGUGUGUGUGUGUGUGUGUGAGUGAGUGUGUGUGUGAGUGAGUGUGUGAGUGAGUGAGUGAGUGAGUGAGUGAGUGAGUGAGUGUGUGAGUGAGUGAGUGAGUGUGUGUGUGUGUGUGUGUGUGAGUGAGUGAGUGAGUGGUUGAGUGAGUGAGUGAGUGAGUGUGUGUGUGUGUGUGUGUGUGUGUAUGUGUGUGUGUGUGUGUGUGUGUGUGUGUGUGUGUGUGUGUGUGUGUGUGUGUGUAUGU
ensembl:lncRNA